UACGUAGGGUGCGAGCGUUUUCCGGAUUUAUUUGGCGUAAAGGGCUCUUUGGCGGCCUGUCGCGUCGGGAGUGAAAGCCCACUGCUUAACGGUGGGUCUGCUUCCGGUACGGGCGGGCUGGAGUAUGGCAGGGGAGACUGGAAUUCCUGGUGUAGCGGUGGAAUGCGCAGAUAUCAGGAGGAACACCGGUGGCGAAGGCGGGUCUCUGGGCCAUUACUGACGCUGAGGAGCGAAAGCGUGGGGAGCGAACAGG
rnacentral:rRNA from 1 species